GGUUUUUUAAUCUGAAUUACAUCCGUUAAUACGACUGUCCGUAUCACGAAAAAUGUUUAAAACAACAUUAUUAUUUCAAAUCCGUCCUUGAACCGUUGGACUCCUCGUCUGUGUCUGUCUCUCUCUCUCUCUCUCUCUCUCUCAAAGUGGGUGGGAAAAUGGAUGGCUCUGGUGACUCAAAGCCGGCGCCAGAGGUGAUAGAGCUGCAGCCAAUCGAAGCCACUCCGGCGAGCUUCGAAGAGUACGGCCAAGUCAUCGAGGCUUCGUCCGACGGCGACGAGUUCGGACCCCAAGAUGCUCAACUAGACCUCAGUCACGGCGUUCCCAGGUUUUACAUUAUGCAACUCAAAAACCGACGACUUAAGUUCUCUACAAUCACGCAUCACGCAAGUGUGACCCAAUGCCUUGGUUCGGUCGGUGGUCAUGUUUGGUAUCUUGGAAUUGCUAAGCCGUCCAUCGUGGACGGCAUUGAAAAAGACAAGGAUGACACGGGCAGGAACAUUCUGCAAUCUCCUUGUGGUCAUUUCUAUGUGCCUCCUGCUGUCGAGGAUGUCCGCGUUUUCAGGGUUGCGGGUACCAAAUUUCUUAAGCUGAACCGAGGGACAUGGCAUGCUGGGCCACUGUUUAAGGAUCAUACAAUGGCCUUUUACAAUUUAGAGUUGAGCAACACCAAUGUUGCAAACAAGCUAGAGUGAAUUACUGGCAAGUAUUGAAGCCAUGGUUGGUAUGCUAAAUCUAAUGGAGUUGGUCUUUAUUAGCUCAAGUUCAGAAGAAUUAGGAUCCUAUUGAAGAAAGGCAAGAGUGUGUAGAUUCACUUAUAUAGCCUUAAAAGGGAAAUGAUCAAUACAAAAAAGGCAAAAACCUAGACCAGGAGCUGAUUAUUAUGGUUGGACUAGCUAUAGUUUUGCUUCAUUGCAAUGCCAUGAACUAAGGGAACAGAAGAUUCUGGCUGGCUUGACCCCUUUUUCUAUGUAUCUUAAUGUAUAGUCCGUCUGGUAACAUUGUAUGCCUCUCAGUAUUACAGUUACUUUGCUCUAUUUUGUGAGGUGGUUGAUCACACGACACACAGCUUCAUCCGCGAAAACGGAGUGAUCUUUUCCAUCAAUGACUAGUUAACUUUCAACUGCUCUGUUGUCAGCAUAUGUUACUGCUAUUCCAGAUGGUAUGUAUUACGAUAUAAUCACACAAUAAAAUGCCAAAGGAAUAAUCUAGAUAUCUCACACAAAUGCACUCAUCUUGCUUUCUCUUUAAUGCCUAGUGUAUACAAUCGUGCUUUAUUUUCCCUAUGGACUCUAGAUGGAUAGAUACCCUUCUGAAUUUUUCAACCUUAAUGAAGUUCGUGCAAUAGCCUAA